GAUGAACGCUGGCGGCGUGCCUAAUACAUGCAAGUCGAGCGAACAGACGAGGAGCUUGCUCCUCUGACGUUAGCGGCGGACGGGUGAGUAACACGUGGAUAACCUACCUAUAAGACUGGGAUAACUUCGGGAAACCGGAGCUAAUACCGGAUAAUAUAUUGAACCGCAUGGUUCAAUAGUGAAAGACGGUUUUGCUGUCACUUAUAGAUGGUUCCGCGCCGCAUUAGCUAGUUGGUAAGGUAACGGCUUACCAAGGCAACGAUGCGUAGCCGACCUGAGAGGGUGAUCGGCCACACUGGAACUGAGCCCCGGUCCAGACUCCUACGGGAGGCCGCAGUAGGGAAUCUUCCGCAAUGGGCGAAAGCCUGACGGAGCAACGCCGCGUGAGUGAUGAAGGUCUUCGGAUCGUAAAACUCUGUUAUUAGGGAAGAACAAAUGUGUAAGUAACUAUGCACGUCUUGACGGUACCUAAUCAGAAAGCCACGGCUAACUACGUG
rnacentral:rRNA from 1 species